rnacentral:rRNA from 1 species
AACGAACGCUGGCGGCGUGCCUAACACAUGCAAGUCGAGCGAUAACGAAUGGUGCUCUCGCCCAUUUGAGGGGCAGCGGACGGGUGAGUAACGCGUGGGGCAUCUUCCUUUGAGCGGGGGGCAAUAUUUGGGGACGACUGCUACUACCGCAUCACAACUUUAAACAUAAGUUGCAAGUUUGAAAGAUGCGAUUGCAUCACGCAAAGACGUACCCGCGUUGUGUUAGCUAGGUGGUGAGGUAAAGGCUCACCAAGGCGUUGGUACAUAGCCGACCUGAGAGGGUGAUCGGCCACAUUGGGACUGGGACACGGCCCAAACCCCUACGGGAGGGAGCCGGAGGGGAUUUUUGGCAAAGGGGGAAAGUCUGAAUGAGGAACGACGGGUGAGUGGAGGAGGUUUUUGGGUCGUAAAAGUCUGUUUGUAGGGAAGGACGUUGAUCAGAGUGAAACGCUCAUCUAGUGACGGUACCUACAGAAUAAGCGACGGCUAACUACGUG